GAUUGAACGCUGGCGGUAUGCUUAACACAUGCAAGUCGAACGGCAGCAUGAUUUGUAGCAAUACAAAUUGAUGGCGAGUGGCGGACGGGUGCGUAACGCGUAGGAAUCUGCCCUGAAGUGGGGGAUAACCCGAGGAAACUCGGGCUAAUACCGCAUAAUCUCUGAGGAGGAAAGGCUAGGUAGUAAUAUCUGGCGCUUUAGGAGGAGCCUGCGUCCGAUUAGCUAGUUGGUGGGGUAAAGGCCUACCAAGGCGAUGAUCGGUAGCUGGUCUGAGAGGAUGACCAGCCACACUGGGACUGAGACACGGCCCAGACUCCUACGGGAGGCAGCAGUGGGGAAUAUUGGACAAUGGGGGCAACCCUGAUCCAGCAAUACCGCGUGUGUGAAGAAGGCCUUCGGGUUGUAAAGCACUUUAGGUUGGGAAGAAGGCAUGUAGUUUAAGAGAUGACAUGUUUGACGGUACCAACAGAACAAGCACCGGCUAACUCUGUGCCAGCAGCCGCGGUAAUACAGAGGGUGCAAGCGUUAAUCGGAAUUACUGGGCGUAAAGGGCGCGUAGGUGGUUUGUUAAGUGAGAUGUGAAAUCCCUGGGCUUAACCUAGGAACUGCAUCUUAAACUGGCGAACUGGAGUACUGUAGAGGGUAGUGGAAUUUCCGGUGUAGCGGUGAAAUGCGUAGAUAUCGGAAGGAACACCAGUGGCGAAGGCGGCUACCUGGACAGAUACUGACACUGAGGCGCGAAAGCGUGGGGAGCAAACGGGAUUAGAUACCCGGGUAGUCCACGCUGUAAACGAUGAGAACUAGAUGUUGGAGAGCUUGACUCUCCAGUAUCGAAGCUAACGCGAUAAGUUCUCCGCCUGGGGAGUACGACCGCAAGGUUAA
rnacentral:rRNA from 1 species